AUUGAACGCUGGCGGCAGGCCUAACACAUGCAAGUCGAACGGUAACAGGAAACAGCUUGCUGUUUCGCUGACGAGUGGCGGACGGGUGAGUAAUGUCUGGGAAACUGCCUGAUGGAGGGGGAUAACUACUGGAAACGGUAGCUAAUACCGCAUAACGUCGCAAGACCAAAGAGGGGGACCCUCGGGCCUCUUGCCAUCGGAUGUGCCCAGAUGGGAUUAGCUUGUUGGUGGGGUAACGGCUCACCAAGGCGACGAUCCCUAGCUGGUCUGAGAGGAUGACCAGCCACACUGGAACUGAGACACGGUCCAGACUCCUACGGGAGGCAGCAGUGGGGAAUAUUGCACAAUGGGCGCAAGCCUGAUGCAGCCAUGCCGCGUGUAUGAAGAAGGCCUUCGGGUUGUAAAGUACUUUCAGCGGGGAGGAAGGGAGUAAAGUUAAUACCUUUGCUCAUUGACGUUACCCGCAGAAGAAGCACCGGCUAACUCCGUGCCAGCAGCCGCGGUAAUACGGAGGGUGCAAGCGUUAAUCGGAAUUACUGGGCGUAAAGCGCACGCAGGCGGUUUGUUAAGUCAGAUGUGAAAUCCCCGGGCUCAACCUGGGAACUGCAUCUGAUACUGGCAAGCUUGAGUCUCGUAGAGGGGGGUAGAAUUCCAGGUGUAGCGGUGAAAUGCGUAGAGAUCUGGA
rnacentral:rRNA from 1 species